AACGUAGGUCACAAGCGUUGUCCGGAAUUACUGGGUGUAAAGGGAGCGCAGGCGGGAAGACAAGUUGGAAGUGAAAUCCAUGGGCUCAACCCAUGAACUGCUUUCAAAACUGUUUUUCUUGAGUAGUGCAGAGGUAGGCGGAAUUCCCGGUGUAGCGGUGGAAUGCGUAGAUAUCGGGAGGAACACCAGUGGCGAAGGCGGCCUACUGGGCACCAACUGACGCUGAGGCUCGAAAGUGUGGGUAGCAAACAGGAUUAGAUACCCCAGUAGUUGACU
rnacentral:rRNA from 1 species